rnacentral:tRNA from 1 species
GCACAGGUAGUUCAGUGGUAGAACUCCUGCCCGGUAAGCAGGAAGCCCCGGGUUCGAUUCCCGGUCUGUGCA